AUUUAGGAGUGAAGAAGUGAGAACUGACGGAGAAGAUAACCGACUGAUUUUCCAGCAAGAGGGAGAAGACGAAGGGAGAGCUGGCCAGAAAGAGAUAGAGAGAAUUACCGAUGAGGCGGUGAAACGAGCUUGUCGUCAUGAACGUGGCAGCUGUAACAGAAAUUGAGACGGGGAAAGAUGGAGAGUGACGGUGGGGCUAGACAGCUAUGAGCACCGAUGGAAGAGCUGCAAAGUGAGGAAGGGGAAUAGAGAGAGUUUGCUGUCAAAAUUGAGAGAAAUGGAGGGGGGAAAGAGUUGCAGAUGUUGCAAACUAGCGUGAGAGAAAAGAGGGAAAUUGAAGUUCAUUUAGGGGAUUUUAAUUUCUGGGAACAAUACAGAGAGAGGGAUCGAUUAGAAUGGAGGAAAGGAAGUUGUUUCCUUUGUUUGUUGGGCCAAUCUUUUACUAGAAAUUGGGUCAAGUAAAAUAGUUGGGCUAAAGGAUUUCAAAUCUGCACUAUGUAUUAGGAAUUGGGCCAAAGAAAUAAAUGAGAUAGUGUAUGGAAUUUGGGCCAGUAGCUAGGAGCUUCACAGAUUGAAUUAAAGAAUCACAUUGUGGUGAUCGAGUGGGCUGACCUUAUGAUUAACGUACGAGGAUUUCAGAAAUUUCUAAGUAAUGUCGAAGGGGUGAAUUCUUUGGCAAGCUAUUUGAAAACAAAACGGCAGAAAGACGAGUUGAGGAUUUAAGAGAACGAGGUGGGCUUUCUUUUUAAAUAAGGACUAUGUCCUAAGUAUAUUUAUUUUUGUGAAAUAUGUUUCUCAUGCCAUACUUUUGUGUUGCUAUGGGACCUAUCUGAAGUGGCUUUUGCCAUGUAUGGUUAAUCGAAUUCGGGUCUGACUA